CCUUGUACACACCGCCCGUCACACCAUGGAGCGGGUUCUGCCAGAAGUAGUUAGCCUAACCGCAAGGGAGGGCGAUUACCACGGCAGGGUUCGUGACUGGGGUG
rnacentral:rRNA from 1 species